rnacentral:rRNA from 1 species
GACGUAGGGUCCGAGCGUUGUCCGGAGUUACUGGGCGUAAAGGGCGCGUAGGCGGCUUUGUGCGUCACCCGUGAAAGCCCCCGGCUCAACCGGGGAGGGUCGGGUGAAACGGCGGAGCUGGAGGCAGCGAGAGGCUGGUGGAAUUCCCGGAGUAGUGGUGAAAUGCGUAGAGAUCGGGAGGAAGCACCGGUGGCGAAGCGCCGUGCC